GCAGCGGGGAUUCUGCAUUCGUGUGCUGUGUGACGUCGAGCUCAACCGCUUCUCCACAGGAGCAUUCGCCACAUAAACUGCAGUCACGAAGGCGGCUGU
rnacentral:lncRNA from 1 species